UCCUACGGGAGGCAGCAGUCGAGAAUAAUUCACAAUGGGGGCAACCCUGAUGGUGCAACGCCGCGUGGAGGAUGAAGGUCUUCGGAUUGUAAACUCCUGUCAUCCGGGAGCAAGACCUGACGGUGAAUAGCCGGCAGGGUUGAUAGUACCGGAAGAGGAAGGGACGGCUAACUUCGUGCCAGCAGCCGCGGUAAUACGAAGGUCCCGAGCGUUGUUCGGAAUCACUGGGCGUAAAGGGAGCGUAGGCGGUUUGGUAAGUCAGAUGUGAAAUCCCGGGGCUCAACCCCGGAACUGCAUCCGAUACUGCCGGACUUGAGUUUUGGAGAGGUAGCUGGAAUUCACGGUGUAGCAGUGAAAUGCGUGGAUAUCGUGAGGAACACUCGUGGCGAAAGCGAGCUACUGGACAACAACUGACGCUGAGGCUCGAAGGCCAGGGGAGCGAAAGGGAUUAGAUACCCGGGUAU
rnacentral:rRNA from 1 species